rnacentral:rRNA from 1 species
UGGGGAAUAUUGGACAAUGGGCGCAAGCCUGAUCCAGCCAUGCCGCGUGAGUGAUGAAGGCCUUAGGGUUGUAAAGCUCUUUUGUCCGGGAAGAUAAUGACUGUACCGGAAGAAUAAGCCCCGGCUAACUCCGUGCCAGCAGCCGCGGUAAUACGAAGGGGGCUAGCGUUGCUCGGAAUCACUGGGCGUAAAGGGCGCGUAGGCGGACUUUUAAGUCGGGGGUGAAAGCCCAGGGCUCAACCCUGGAAUUGCCUUCGAUACUGGGAGUCUUGAGUUCGGAAGAGGUUGGUGGAACUGCGAGUGUAGAGGUGAAAUUCGUAGAUAUUCGCGAGAACACCGGGGGCGAAGGCGGCCAACUGGUCCGAAACUGACGCUGGGGCGCGAAAGCGUGGGGAGCAAACAGG